GAUUACGAGCAUAUUGCUUACAGCUGUCAUAAAGUUACUAAAUGCAAAAUGUAAACAUGAAAUUUAUUUUUUAAGAUACAUCCAUCUGUGUUGGGAUAAUAAUUGGACUUUUUUAGUACCCGGACUGGCCACCAGGCGGCGCCAUUUUACUUUUAAAAAAAGUGGGGGGUACCCUCCUAAAAUGGCCUUAAUAAUUAUAGCGCUCGCAGUAUAAUGGUGAUAACCUUUGGGCGGGUAAAUUUAUUUUAACAAGCCACAUGAAUAAGCAAAAAAAUGUGAGCCGUCAUGGGACGCCUGGCAGAUGUGAAACAUCGACAUUAUUUUGUAAAAGUAAUAUGCAGAAAAGAACAGAUUGUAAUAGGAACUAAAUAUGUCAUAAUGAUAAAAUAAAAUAUUACGAUUUUUUUUCCAGAUAA